rnacentral:rRNA from 2 species
CCAACUAAUUGAUGGUGCUUGCUGAAUUGACGAUGGAUCACCAGUGAGUGGCGGACGGGUGAGUAACACGUAGGUAACCUGCCCCGGAGCGGGGAAUAACAUUUGGAAACAGAUGCUAAUACCGCAUAACAACAAAAGCCGCAUGGUUUUUGUUGGAAAGAUGGCUUUGGCUAUCACUCUGGGAUGGACCUGCGGUGCAUUUAGCUAGUUGGUAAGGUAACGGCUUACCCAAGGCGAUGAUGCAUAGCCGAGUUGAGAGACUGAUCGGCCACAAUGGGAACUGAGACACGGUCCAUAACUUCUACGGGAGGCAGCAGUAGGGAAUCUUCCACAAUGGGCGCAAGCCUGAUGGAGCAACACCGCGUUAUUAAAAAAGGGUUUCGGCCGCUAAAGCUCUGUUGUUGGAGAAGAACGUGCGUUAGAGUAACUGUUACGCAGUGACGGUAUCCAACCAGAAAGUCACGGCUAACUACGUGCCAGCAGCCGCGGUAAUACGUAGGUGGCAAGCGUUAUCCGGAUUUAUUGGGCGUAAAGCGAGCGCAGGCGGUUGCUUAGGUCUGAUGUGAAAGCCUUCGGCUUAACCGAAGAAGUGCAUCGGAAACCGGGCGACUUGAGUGCAGAAGAGGACAGUGGAACUCCAUGUGUAGCGGUGGAAUGCGUAGAUAUAUGGAAGAACACCAGUGGCGAAGGCGGCUGUCUGGUCUGCAACUGACGCUGAGGCUCGAAAGCAUGGGUAGCGAACAGGAUUAGAUACCCUGGUAGUCCAUGCCGUAAACGAUGAGUGCUAGGGGUUGGAGGGUUUCCGCCCUUCAGUGCCUGUUCUAACGCAUUAAU